UGCCUGUAAAGAUAGGAGCCUCUGUUU
rnacentral:piRNA from 1 species